rnacentral:rRNA from 1 species
UACGAAGGGGGCUAGCGUUGCUCGGAAUCACUGGGCGUAAAGGGUGCGUAGGCGGGUCUUUAAGUCAGGGGUGAAAUCCUGGAGCUCAACUCCAGAACUGCCUUUGAUACUGAGGAUCUUGAGUUCGGGAGAGGUGAGUGGAACUGCGAGUGUAGAGGUGAAAUUCGUAGAUAUUCGCAAGAACACCAGUGGCGAAGGCGGCUCACUGGCCCGGUACUGACGCUGAGACGCGAAAGCAUGGGGAGCAAACAGG